rnacentral:rRNA from 1 species
UACGUAGGGGGCGAGCGUUGUCCGGAAUCAUUGGGCGUAAAGCGCGUGUAGGCGGCCCGAUAAGUCCGCUGUGAAAGUCCAGGGCUCAACCCUGGAAAGCCGGUGGAUACUGUCGGGCUAGAGUCCGGAAGAGGCGAGUGGAAUUCCUGGUGUAGCGGUGAAAUGCGUAGAUAUCAGGAGGAACACCGGUGGUGUAGACGGCUCACUGGACCAUAACUGACGCUGAGACACGAAAGCGUGGGUAGCAAACAGG